GAGUUUGAUCGUGGCUCAGAUUGAACGCUGGCGGCAUGCCUUACACAUGCAAGUCGAACGGCAGCAUGAUCUAGCUUGCUAGAUUGAUGGCGAGUGGCGAACGGGUGAGUAAUACGUCGGAACGUGCCCUGUAGUGGGGGAUAACUAGUCGAAAGAUUAGCUAAUACCGCAUACGACCUGAGGGUGAAAGUGGGGGACCGCAGGGCCUCAUGCUAUAGGAGCGGCCGAUGUCUGAUUAGCUAGUUGGUGGGUAAAGGCCCACCAAGGCGACGAUCAGUAGCUGGUCUGAGAGGACGAUCAGCCACACUGGGACUGAGACACGGCCCAGACUCCUACGGGAGGCAGCAGUGGGGAAUUUUGGACAAUGGGCGAAAGCCUGAUCCAGCAAUGCCGCGUGUGUGAAGAAGGCC
rnacentral:rRNA from 1 species